CCUAUACAUAAAAUAAACCGAAAAUUCAGCUUUGGAGUCUCUCCUAUAUAUUUUCAAAAUUUAAAUUCAUUUUUCACAUUCUACAUAAAAACUCAUUCCAAAUUCUCUUCUCUCUCAGCUCUCAAACAAGAAAAGUCACAAAAGCUCAAGAACUAUUCUCUCCUCCUCCAAGAAGCUCCGCCGGAACCCCUCCCCUACCAGAUCCGCCGUCGCCUUGCUUCCUGCCGGCCAAGCCUCCUCUGGCCGACCAACACCCUUUCUCCCCAGCUCCACUCGCCCGGAACCACUCCGCUCGGCACCUCCGUUUUGGCCGAUCCCCUCCGCCCCCUCUCGCUCGUCCGACCACCGUGCGAACAUACUCCCUCCGCCGUGAAGCUCCUUCGCCGGACCUCCUUCUUCUUGUUCAAUCCAAUUCCUCUGAUUCUCUUUCAGUAA